GAGGAAUCAGCCUCGGCUAACUCCGUGCCAGCAGCCGCGGUAAUACGGAGGAGGCAAGCGUUAUUCGGAAUUAUUGGGCGUAAAGCGUCCGCAGGGGGCUCAUCAAGUCUGCUGUCAAAGGUCGGAGCUCAACUCCGGUUCGGCAGUGGAAACUGGUGGGCUAGAGGGCGACAGGGGUAGAGGGAAUUCCCAGUGUAGCGGUGAAAUGCGUAGAGAUUGGGAAGAACACCGGUGGCGAAAGCGCUCUACUGGGUCGCACCUGACCCUCAGGGACGAAAGCUAAGGUAGCGAAAGGGAUUAGAUACCCCUGUAGUCUUAGCCGUAAACGAUGGAUGCUGGGCGUGGUUGGUAUCGACCCCAGCCGUGCCGAAGCUAACGCGUUAAGUAUCCCGCCUGGGGAGUACGCACGCAAGUGUGAAACUCAAAGGAAUUGACGGGGGCCCGCACAAGCGGUGGAGGAUGUGGUUUAAUUCGAUGCAACGCGAAGAACCUUACCAGGGCUUGACAUCCCGCGAAUCCCAGUGAAAGCUGGGGGUGCCUUCGGGAGCGCGGAGACAGGUGGUGCAUGGCUGUCGUCAGCUCGUGUCGUGAGAUGUUGGGUUAAGUCCCGCAACGAGCGCAACCCUCGUCCUUAGUUGCCAGCCUUAAGUGGGGCACUCUAGGGAGACUGCCGGUGACAAACCGGAGGAAGGCGAGGAUGACGUCAAGUCAGCAUGCCCCUGAUGCUCUGGGCGACACACGUCCUACAAUGGUCGGGACAAAGGGCAGCGAGCUCGCGAGAGUCAGCAAAUCCCAGCAAACCCGGCCUCAGUUCAGAUUGCAGGCUGCAACUCGCCUGCAUGAAGGAGGAAUCGCUAGUAAUCGCUGGUCAGCAUACAGCGGUGAAUUCGUUCCCGGGCCUUGUACACACCGCCCGUCACACCAUGGAAGCUGGCCAAGCCCGAAGUCGUUACCCUAACCGUUCGCGGAGGGGGCGCCGAA
rnacentral:rRNA from 1 species